rnacentral:rRNA from 1 species
GAUGAACGCUGGCGGCGUGCCUAAUACAUGCAAGUCGAACGCUUUGUCUUUAAUUGAUAUGAAGAGCUUGCUCUGAUUUGAUUUUAUCUGACAAAGAGUGGCGAACGGGUGAGUAACACGUGGGUAACCUACCUCUUAGCAGGGGAUAACAUUUGGAAACAAGUGCUAAUACCGUAUAACACUAACAACCGCAUGGUUGUUAGUUGAAAGAUGGUUCUGCUAUCACUAAGAGAUGGACCCGCGGUGCAUUAGCUAGUUGGUAAGGUAAUGGCUUACCAAGGCGAUGAUGCGUAGCCGAGUUGAGAGACUGAUCGGCCACAAUGGGACUGAGACACGGCCCAUACUCCUACGGGAGGCAGCAGUAGGGAAUCUUCCACAAUGGGCGCAAGCCUGAUGGAGCAACGCCGCGUGUGUGAUGAAGGGUUUCGGCUCGUAAAACACUGUUAUAAGAGAAGAACGACAUUGAGAGUAACUGUUCAGUGUGUGACGGUAUCUUAUCAGAAAGAAACGGCUAAAUACGUG